AGUGUAGGCGGCUAUUUAAGUCGGAUGUGAAAUCCCCGGGCUCAACCUGGGAAUUGCAUUCGAUACUGGAUAGCUAGAGUUUGGUAGAGGUAAGUGGAAUUCCGGGUGUAGCGGUGAAAUGCGUAGAUAUCCGGAGGAACAUCAGUGGCGAAGGCGGCUUACUGGACCAAAACUGACGCUGAGGCUCGAAAGCGUGGGGAGCAAACAGGAUUAGAUACCCUGGUAGUCC
rnacentral:rRNA from 1 species